GCCAGGCGUGGUGGCGGGCGCCUGUAGUCCCAGUUACUCGGGAGGCUGAGGCAGGAGAAUGGUGUGAACCUGGGAGGUGGAGGUUGCAAUGAGCCGAGAUUGGGCCACUGCACUCCAGCCUGGGCGACAGAGCAAGCCUCCGUCUCAAAAAAAAAAAAAAAAAAAAAAUUAAAGAAAAGAACAAAUCUUUGUUGUUGUUGUUUUUGUGACGGAGUCUUGCUCUGUCACCCAGGCUGGAGUGCAGUGGCGCAAUCUCGGCUCACCGCAACCUCUGCCUCCUGGGUUCAAGUGAUUCUCCUGCCUCCC
rnacentral:SRP_RNA from 2 species